ACUCAACGUUUUAGGACCAGCUUGUUCCCCCUCUGACACUAGAUUUCUGAACAGACCAUGAACCUCACUGUUAUUUACUCGUUCAUUUCUAUGGUUGUAACCUACAGUCAUUUUUACUCUACUACUGCGGCAAAACAACAAAUGUCACAACAACGACAAUAAACCUGAUUCUGAAUCUGUAAUUAAUUAAACAUGGAACAAGGACAAAUUCCCACUUUCAACAUUGUUUUCACUUGUAAUUCUUUCACUCUCCAGCUUUUGAUCAGUAGUUACUAUUAGAAUCCACACCAAGGUGAAGCCGUACCGGAGCUGUGUUCUGUCCACACUCCUGUACAGGUCAGAAUGCUGGUGCAUGACAGGGGGCCACCUUGCCAAGCCGUCGUCAUUCCACACCACGAGCUUCCGGGAGAUCCUCCAUCAUUUCUGGCCAAGAGAGAUCUCUAACCAGGCCCUACUCCUUUCCUUCAGGUCACUAAGAGGACAUGGCCACAAUCAUCACGAGGAAACACUGGAGAUGGAUUGGGCACGUGAUGAGGCCAACUCCUUCAUCAAGAGAACGCUUCAUUGGAUACCAGAAGGGUGGAGGAAGCACAGGAGAUGAAAGACAACUUGGUGCUACACUGCAGAGGCAGAAAUGAGGACCCUGAACCACACCUGGGCACAAUAGAGAAGAUGGCCGAGGACAAAUAGAGAUCGAGGACCUUUAUUGCAUCAGCAGUGUAACAGGCAAAACAGCAAUGAAGAAACGUUUUACAUCUGAGUAUGACGGUAUUCCUGAGACUCCAGCCGGGAUUUGCGUGACUGACUGCAGUGAAAGCCGAGAGGAAGCUACUGACACGAGGAAAGAAGCCCUGAACAUUGCCAGAGAUGGAAGAUCUUCACUGCUGCUCAAAACACCAGAAGGCAAAACAGGCAGGUUCUUUGGAAGACCCUGACCUGGACAUCAGUUCUUUACGGGAAUGGGGCCCACUCUCAGGGCCUCACAACUGGCCGCUUUUUGAUAUCCCAAGGCCACAGCCUGGAAGACUAGCGUGCCUUCAGGGUGCUGGAAUUUCCUGGCUCUGGAGACGUACUGAUUCUAGGCCGGUGCCCCUGACUGAGGUGUUGCGGGAGAACAUGGAAAAUCGUGAGCAGCAAGUUAGUUGCCAUGGGCUGCGUGUCCAGAGAUCUGAGCCUUUCCAGAGCCAACUCUCUGGAUGCAGAGCUUGGAAAAAGUGAAACUGCAGAACUUUAACGUUGUAAAUCAGUGAGUUGUUUGUUAUGUCUCCCCCCUCACUGUGAAGUGGGGACAUCUCUUAUUAGGGAGUGAGAGAGAGCAUGUGGUAUGUCAAAUUACCAGGUGAAUGAGUAGUCAUUGGGUUACUGCGAGUCUGUGUCUUUAUUGAUAUUACUGCACGCUUGAGUGCUUGGUGGAGG